rnacentral:rRNA from 1 species
GAUGUACGCUGGCGGCGUGCCUAAUACAUGCAAGUCGAGCGAACAGACGAGGAGCUUGCUCCUCUGACGUUAGCGGCGGACGGGUGAGUAACACGUGGAUAACCUACCUAUAAGACUGGGAUAACUUCGGGAAACCGGAGCUAAUACCGGAUAAUAUAUUGAACCGCAUGGUUCAAUAGUGAAAGACGGUUUUGCUGUCACUUAUAGAUGGAUCCGCGCCGCAUUAGCUAGUUGGUAAGGUAACGGCUUACCAAGGCGACGAUGCGUAGCCGACCUGAGAGGGUGAUCGGCCACACUGGAACUGAGACACGGUCCAGACUCCUACGGGAGGCAGCAGUAGGGAAUCUUCCGCAAUGGGCGAAAGCCUGACGGAGCAACGCCGCGUGAGUGAUGAAGGUCUUCGGAUCGUAAAACUCUGUUAUUAGGGAAGAACAAAUGUGUAAGUAACUAUGCACGUCUUGACGGUACCUAAUCAGAAAGCCACGGCUAACUACGUG